rnacentral:lncRNA from 1 species
CUGAGAUCAGGAGUUGAAGACCAGCCUGACCAACAUGGAGAAAUCCUGUCUUUACUAAAAAUACAAAAAAUUAGCCAGGUGUAGUAGCGCGUGUUUGUAAUCCUAGCUACUUGGGAGGCUGAAGCAGGAGAAUCGCUUGAACCUGGGAGGCGGAAGUUGCAGUGAGCGGAGAUCGCACCACUGCACUCCAGCCUGGGCGACAGAACAAGACUCUGUCUCCAAAAUAAAAAAUAAAUUAAAAAGAGCUAUAAUUGUUUUUAAAGUGCAUAAAGCAAUAUUAUGGAAGAAAAACGAUCAAUUAGCGACACCAAUCAAUAAAGCUGGAAUGAGACAUAAUUAAGCUAGUUCAAAGGAAAGUCUGAUGAAAGAUUACAAAAAGCUCUCUAAUUAUGAGAGGAAAGAAGAAUCUCAGGCAAGACUGCCAAGGAGGUUACAAAUUUGUUAACCCUGCAGCAGAAAUGAGAAACUCAACAAUUAAAGAGAAAAUAAAAAUCAAUGUCAUUCCAACAAUGGACAGGCUCCAUUCUCCAGUUAAAAGGAUCUACCACCAGCUUUAAAGUCAUCAGCCAAGUUCUUUCCAGAUUUCUCAGAACCACACAAGCAAACACACAUGGCAAGAGCAACCCUCAACUCACUCUAUUAUGAGUACAACUCAUCAAGGACUGAGGACCCUGGAGCAUUUCUUCUCCAAACUCUGAUCUUCCAGAUGCCAAACAAAGUAGGCUGAUAGACUGGCCUGAAGAUGAAGUCCCGCUCUGUCGCCCAGGCUGGAGUGCAAUGGCAAGAUCAAUCUCAGCUCAGUGCAACCUUCACCUCCCGGGUUCAAGCAAUCCUCCUGCCUCAGACUCCCAAGUUGCUGGGAUUACAGGUCUGCUUAACAUAAGGUUUGCAGCCAAGCGCGGCCACUCAUGCCUGUAAUCCCAGCACUUUGGGAGGCCGAGGCGGGCGGAUCAUGAGAUCAGGAGAUUGAGACCAUCCCGGCUAACACAGUGAAACCCCGUCUCUACUGAAAAUAGAAAAAAUUAACUGGGUGCGGUGGCGGGUGCCUGUAGUCCCAGUUACUUGGGAGGCUGAGGCAGGAGAAUGGCGUGAACCUGGGAGGUGGAGCUUGCAGUGAGCCAGGAUCGCGCCACUGCACUCCAGCCUGGGUGACAGAGCGAGACUCCAUCUCAAAAAAUAAUAAUAAUAAAAUAAAAUAAGGUUUGCAUAUUGGUUAUAAGCAUUUUCUCACAUCAGUCUAAUACCUUGUGGCUACUGAUUUCCUGCACUGGGAGUCAGCAGACCUCAUGGCGAUGCAAAACGUCUGCCAAUGUAUAUUAAAAGGAAACCAAGUAAGAACAGACUUUGCCGCCAUUUGGGCAACUCCUCACGUAGAUGCUUGGCAAGUAACAGUCAGAGACAGUGUGCUAUUGUUCAAAUGCACAGACUGGAUUCUGA